rnacentral:lncRNA from 1 species
GUGAGGGCGCCCGUGAUCCACUCUUCAACCCAAAUAAUGGAGGUUUUAGAGGGAAUGGUUGUGACAGCCCUCAAAUCCGGGGGUCUGGAUCUGGUGCCACGUGUAAAUAAAAAUAAUUUAAAACCUGUAUUUUUGAGUCACUGAAAGAAAAACAAUUUAAAAAAAUACAAGUAUUUCAAAACCUGAAUAUAUAAAAAAAAUGAUUUAAAUUAAAACUCAAAUUCACCCCCUGAAAACAGGAUCGCAUACAGGUUACAGCAUUGAAAUCAGAAACUAAAACUAUCAAAUUUAAUUACAAAUUAAACUGCAUUAUCAGCUAAACAUCGAUAAGAAGAGUAGCUGAUGACCAAAUAAACAAAUCUCAUUUCCAACUGAAUUGAAUUGCAGAACUCCAACUGCAUCUAGUCUUAAUCACAUCGUCCCGGAUACCCUACCUAACAAUUUUCCUGAACUCAACCACUUGCAAUCAUUGCCUAUCAUUACUCUUUACGCGCAGUCUUUAGUGAAUCAUCUUUAUCCCUAGCUGAAAAAGGUUAGAAGGAAUAGCAAGAAUGAGCAAUAAUGCUCAGCAAGAAUAUGAUAGGUGGAAGCAACAAGAUAUAUAUAUUUAAGUGAAUCAGAAUGUUGAAGUGAAAGUAAACUCUGGAUUAAACAUGAUGUUGUAAACCAACAGUUCAGUAUAAAAGAGUAAAAUGGUAAACAAUGAUAAAACAGUUCUGCAUCAAUAUAUGAAUUUAAAGCUGUAGAAAUAAAAAUAACUUCCAUUAUCUUUUGAACAUAAGAUAAUCUCCUUUGAAACUAAUCAAUAUUUAAUUGGGUUUAAAUAAGACACCUGGCUAUAACAGAUGAUCAGUCAUGCUAUAGUCCAUAAACCAAGCUUAUUCAGCAAGGUUGACAAAUAUUACGAAUUCCGGUAAUCCGGGCUAAAGGAGCCACCUUUCACGCUGGGCCGAUGUCUGAGCCUCUUACGCAAAACUACCCAAUAUAUUAAAUUUAAAAGCUACAGCUUUAACAUGAUUUGGUAAAUUCAAGAAUUCAAGUGGCUUUUCUUGUUAAACAAAUUUAUUUUGUAGCAAAUCAAAAUAGUUACUACUUUUAGUAGUUUGAAAAUCUUUUAUCAAAAUCAAAGUUUAAAUAGUGAGUCAAAGGUAUUAUCAAUUCAACUGCAGGUAUUCAAUUACUAAACAUGAUUCACAAGAAUGAUGUCACGAUAAAAAUGAAUCAUGUCAUGAAAGAGAGGUCAGGGUCAAGAAGAAGAUAAAAAUCGCUUACUCUUAACUAAGGGUAGAAAUACUUGCCUUAACUCCGACGUCUAGUCACGAUUCUAAUAGCACUAUACCGCACAAUCAUAUCUUUCUAAGCAGCUUCUGACAAUACUCUUUCUACGUCUGUCAUCUCAGAUUAUUCUUGCUUCAACUUGCAACACCAUCGGAUUAAUUCUGAACAUUCUCGAUAUACACGUCUUGAUCUAUUCUACACGAUAGUAGGAUAAUAUCUCAGUCAUCGGAUUAAAAGAACUAGCUAAUUCCAAAUAGUAUAGGAACCGCGAACAUCUACCCUUCGCAUAUCCGUAUAUAGUAAACAUGAAUAUAUACAAAUAUCCACAUAACAAUAUAUACACAUACACAUUGGAUCAGUCGGCACAUAACAACGUAGUCAAUCAUAUUUCAGUCCACAUAAAAUAUAUUGCGAUUAACUAUCAAAUAUCAAAUAUUUAUUAUAAAUAAACACCCUUAAUUUCUAACAAAAAUUCGACAGCAUCUCCUCUAUUUAUUGGACUAUCCACCUGUUUGCAAUACCAACAAUCAGCCAAUACUAUUGCUGACACAUGAAUUACUAUUAUAAAAAGAUGUCUUGACUUUCAAUAAACACAUAAGAAAAUCCGCCUUGACUUGCAGUAAACAUGUAAGAAAAAUCUUUUAGCAGGAUUGCUAAUUUGUUAUACCAAAACACAUUUAAUUAGAUAUACAAAUCAUUAUUCGAUUCUAAUCUUCUUCUAUUUUUCAGCGGUCGAUGAUGCUCAAUAACGUAAAUUAUCGUUGACUCACAAUGGUCUGUGAAGAUCUCAUUAUAAAUAUCCAUGAUCGUCAGAAGUCCUGCUCAGCUUCGCAUAGUCCGAAAUAUUAUCGAGUUUCGUAUAAUCAUCACCACUGAGUGUUGACGUCUUAACUUACUAAUGCCCAGAAUUUUCAGCACCAUACUAUACUAAAACGGUCAUAUCUCCUAGCUCGCUAAUCGAAUCGAUUCGAUUCUUUCGCGCACAUAAACUAGACUCUGAGGAGCACAUAAACACACAAAUAUUAAGCAUAUAAUUCGAUUCUAUGAGCCCAGAAUUGUACUACAAAGCAGAUCAGCCGCAACCUAGAAUUCAAUCGAUUAUGUGUAAAUCUGAAUUUUUAGCCCAAUACUUAACUCUUACAUUUACACAAAAUAUUAAACUUGAAAGCCUAAAUACUCAGUUAUAUAUUCUCAUAAUUCAAGUACCCCAGUCAUCCAAUUAUACUACUAGUUGGCGUACUGAUUAUAAUCGACCUACAACAACCAAAUUCAAAUAUCAAUUAGGCACACAAUUCAAUCAUACAAUUACUAACACCAAUCUCAAUCUCAAAAAUUCAAUCAACCUUCAAUUACAAGCAUAUAAUCAGUUUAUACUCAUGCAAGCACACAUAAAUCAGAUUAUACACACAUAUCAAAUACAUGUACACGUAUAAACACGGUUCACCCGAAUAUAAUUUCGAUUAUCCGACAUGUAAAUACACGCAUAUAUACACAUACAUGUAUCACAUAACUGAUUUAAUAAGUAAAACCAUCGAGUUUAUACCCAUUGAAUCGUAACAGGAGGUGCAGGGGUUUGGAUGGUCGCCGGAGAAAUAGGCGGCGGCUAUAGCAACGGCAGGAGGAAGAAAGAGCCAACGGAGAGGGUGAGAUCAAGAGUGAUUUGGGUGAGAUACGUGCGAGAGUGAGAGAUGAGACAUAGCAGCAAGAGUUUUAUGCAGAGUAUUAGAAACAAUGAGGAAGGAAAAAGAAAAGAAAAGAAAGGCGGUGGAAAAGCAGGGGCACGUGGCUAAACCUUUUGUUGUCACAUGUCCUUAACAAUCUGGCUAAUCAAUUGAUUCGUACCCUCUUUAACUGUUUUACGGAGAUAACUUGCAAUAAAAUUUCUCCCGAAAUUUAUCGAAACAUUUUUUUAUAAAUCCAAUAAUAUUACAAAACUAAUAAAAUUAAAGUUUCGGGAUUUAUAGAGCAUUUUCGAAAUUUAUACAAAAUUUAGAAGUUAGUUGCGCUUUAAAAAUAAUUAAAAAUCAUGUUCUUAAAGAAAUAAGAUUUUUAAUAUUUUAAAAACUCCUAAAAUAUUUAUAAUCACUAUUAAGCAAUUAAAAUAAUUAUUCAAAUUAUCUUUGUAUUUUUACAAAAAUAAAUAUCCAUUUAAGAGGAUAAUAAAUCUUUGAUAAAAUAAUAUAAUAAUAUCAAAAGCAGAAAUAAAUGCACACAUAGACAUAAUCGUAUACAAAUAGAUCAAUUAAAUCUCUUAACAGAUAAUUGCACGAUCAACAGAUAUUUUCCCAUAACCCCGUUGACCAGGAAAAUAUUUAAACAAAUAUAUUUAUUUUUAUUUAUUAUUUUUUUUUUUUUUGAAAUUUACCAAACUGGAAUAAAAUAUUAAAUUUUAUUCCUCCUUUUUAUAAAAACCAUUAAUAAAAUAUUUUGAAAAAUCCGGGUUGUCACAAUCUACCCCCCUUAAAAGGAUUCCGUCCUCGGAAUCAGCGAAAAGAAAACUAGAGCGUACGAUCUCUUUAAUCCAUAAUACUUCUUUAUGAGGUGAUAUCCUCUUGAUUGCUGUCGUAUAUUCGCAUCAUCAUUCGCUUUUGCUCAUGGUACCUCCUACUAUAAAGGCUUAAUUUUACUUGGCAACUCAGUUGGCAUACCUUCAACUAUUAAAGAUUACAAGAAUAUGAAAGAUUAGAUCUAUUGGAACAAAUAUAACGUGAUUGGAAACAAAAGAAUAACCGAGAGAUCAAUAUGAUCUAAAGAACUUGGUGUUGCGUGUCUAAAUUAAGACACUACUAAAGGUAGUUAACCUUCUUGUAAUGUACAACACACACAAGUGAUGGCGUCCCAUCCAACUCCUAUCACACAGACUGGUAGUCCUUGUGUCCCCUAUAGGUAGGGUUGUUCAUCUCAGUUAGAGUAGAAUGAUAUAAUAGAUAUUCAAAAUCAAUUAAGAAUGAUUGACUUUUGAUGAAUGAAUCUUUGAUGCGCACCUUGGGUUAAAAAUUGAAUAAGUUCCAAAGGUGCUAGUUUCAAUGAAAAGAUUAGUUAGAAAUGAUAAAAUAGACACAAGUAUCAUUUUAUAACUCAUGAGAUUGAAAUAUAGUCUUUAUCAAACGUCUCUAGGAAAAGAUGUUAAGACAAUUCAUUGAUGAAGAAGGUAAUCAAUAUAAUCAACAAAGAGGAAGGUAUUGCCAAGAUUCUUCAAGAUAUGCUGCUCUGAUGGAUCAUUAUUCGAUUCUAAUCUUCUUCUAUUUUUCAGCGGUCGAUGAUGCUCAAUAACGUAAAUUAUCGUUGACUCACAAUGGUCUGUGAAGAUCUCAUUAUAAAUAUCCAUGAUCGUCAGAAGUCCUGCUCAGCUUCGCAUAGUCCGAAAUAUUAUCGAGUUUCGUAUAAUCAUCACCACUGAGUGUUGACGUCUUAACUUACUAACAAGUACUAUAUCCACUAAUCUACACGAGCUCUAAAUAACUUUAACGUUCAUUAUUUAACUAUAUACGAAACUUCUUACUUGACCCUACAAGUUUCAUAUUCUUGUAUUAGCUCUAAUGCUCACUACUUCACUAUAUACAAAGCUUUAAAUUCGGACCUGUUAAGACCUAUAUUCUUUCACCAAUUCUAUAUAUCUUUAACAAGAAUCAAAGAUAACUCCCCAAAUACUAUUCAAAGAUUGGCAGACACUAUAAAGAUUACUCUAGACUAUGUGAGAAUCUAUACUAGUCCAACCUCAAUUGGUUCCCAUUAUAAAGUUCACCUAAUAGGUGUAUCUUUCAUCCUUCAAAUGGUUUUGAAUCUAAAUCAACCAAAAGAAAUCUUAUCCACCUACUAUGAGUUUCUAACUCAAUUAAACUGGUGUUAAGAAAUUUUGAUCCAUAAUAAAAACACAUAAAGUCACUCUUCUAAUUUAUCUCUGUCUUGGUGACGAGGACUAUGAAAUAAUUAUUGACUUUCUAGUCUCAACAGGUGAAACUAUUUGUUUGCUGAUAUUGGUACUAACUACUCAAUAGACUAGAAACUAGUGGGGCAUGUUCUUCCUUCCCUGAUAUAUAAACUUACUAGUUCUGGGUCAAGAGAACUAAGAGAACUAUUAUACACACUAUGUUAUACUCAAAAUCAGUACUCUAUUGGAAUCUUGGUUCUAUUGACACAGACUCUUCCAAAGAGUUGUAGACUACCUCUAUGUGAGUUUACGCUUAGUGCACCUAUUUAUUAGACCUAAUAUUACCACCUAUAUUCUGAUUUCAAUAACUUAUAACCUGCAGCUCUGAUACCAACUGUGACAGCCCUCAAAUCCGGGGGUCUGGAUCUGGUGCCACGUGUAAAUAAAAAUAAUUUAAAACCUGUAUUUUUGAGUCACUGAAAGAAAAACAAUUUAAAAAAAUACAAGUAUUUCAAAACCUGAAUAUAUAAAAAAAAUGAUUUAAAUUAAAACUCAAAUUCACCCCCUGAAAACAGGAUCGCAUACAGGUUACAGCAUUGAAAUCAGAAACUAAAACUAUCAAAUUUAAUUACAAAUUAAACUGCAUUAUCAGCUAAACAUCGAUAAGAAGAGUAGCUGAUGACCAAAUAAACAAAUCUCAUUUCCAACUGAAUUGAAUUGCAGAACUCCAACUGCAUCUAGUCUUAAUCACAUCGUCCCGGAUACCCUACCUAACAAUUUUCCUGAACUCAACCACUUGCAAUCCUUGCCUAGUCUUAAGUGAAUCAUCUUUAUUCCUAGCUGAAAAGGGUUAGAAGGAAUAGCAAGAAUGAGCAAUAAUGCUCAGCAAGAAUAACAAAAUGAAAUUGAUAUUUGUUGUACAGCAAUGCCAUAAUAAAGAAGUGAAAAUAUUUAAAACUGCAGAAAUGAAUGUAUAAGCAAAUAUCUCUUGAAGGCAGGGUAACUUCUUUUUAAACUAUUCACAAUUUUAUUGGGCUUUAAAAAUAAUUGGACACCUGGCUAUAACAGAUGAUCAGUCAUGCUAUAGUCCAUAAACCAAGCUUAUUCAGCAAGGUUGACAAAUAUUACGAAUUCCGGUAAUCCGGGCUUAAGGAGCCACCUUUCACGCUGGGCCGGUGCCCGAGCCUCUUACGCAAAAACAACCCAAUAGUUUAAUUUUUAAAACAAUCUGCAGUUCCAUCAUGUAAUUCAAGAGCCAGAAUAACAUUUUGUUAAAACAAUUUCUUUAUGCAUAUCAUAGUGUAGAGUUGAUACCAAAAGUGUUAUCCGUUCAACCAAAAAGUUUAAAAGUACUAGAUAUGCUUCACAAGAAAGUAAUUGCAAAUAAUUUGAAUCAUGAUAUAAAGAAGGUUUUAGUAUCUAUAGGUACUAGAGGAGUAGGGUAGAAAUACUUGCUUCUAAAUUGCGAGAGAAGGUAGAAGUACUUGCCUUAACUCCAAAGUUUAGCUCAGAUUCCUAGUAACACUAUAUACCGCAUAAUCAUUCCUUUCUGCCAGCUUCUGACACACUUUUAUCUAUAACAAAUCUCCGUCCUACUUCAACUUGUAACAUUCUGCUUGGCUAUUUCUGAAUACCCCUUUCAAUCACUUCUCGAUUAAUGCCUCGGUCAAUGUCUUCAAUUCUAUACGAUGAUAAAAUAGUAUUUCAGUCGUCGGAUUAGACAUAUUGACUAACCCUGAAUUGCAUUAAGACCUAUAUAUAUAUCUACCCUUCGCAUAUACAUACCACAGUCACAUAAACACAUAGCACAUAGUUGUACAAACAACCCUUUUUAUAGGCAUUAAAUCCAUAUAAUUUCUAACGAAAAUUCGGCAGCAUCUCCUCUGUUUAUAAGCUUAUCCACCUGUUUGCAAUGCCAACAACCAACCAAUACUAUUGCUAACACAUGAAUUAUUAAUAUAAAAAGAUCCCUUGACUUGCAGUAAACACAUAAGAAAAUCUGUCUUGACUUGUAGUAAACAUAUAAUAAAAUCUUUUAGCAGGAUUGCUAACUUGUUAUACGCAAAACACUUUUAAUUAGAUAUACAAGGUUAACCGAGCCAAUCAAUGUAAUAAUCAAUUAUAUGCAAUUAGUCAAGUAUAACCUCAUACUAUGCACUAGCAAAGAAAGAAAAAUAGAACAAAUAGUUCAAACAGCCCUCGGUCUAUGAUUUUUAAUAAAUUGAAAAUUUAUCUUUUUAAUACGAAAUUUUUAUGAGACUCUCCUAAAUAUUAUUCCAACCUACAGUAAAAUUUUCAGAAAGAAAAUCCAAGUUUAAAGCUGUAAAACAGAGCCUGGAACAGGACAACCCUGCCCAGAAUUUUCAGCACCAUACUAUACUAAAACGGUCAUAUCUCCUAGCUCGCUAAUCGAAUCGAUUCGAUUCUUUCGCGCACAUAAACUAGACUCUGAGGAGCACAUAAACACACAAAUAUUAAGCAUAUAAUUCGAUUCUAUGAGCCCAGAAUUGUACUACAAAGCAGAUCAGCCGCAACCUAGAAUUCAAUCGAUUAUGUGUAAAUCUGAAUUUUUAGCCCAAUACUUAACUCUUACAUUUACACAAAAUAUUAAACUUGAAAGCCUAAAUACUCAGUUAUAUAUUCUCAUAAUUCAAGUACCCCAGUCAUCCAAUUAUACUACUAGUUGGCGUACUGAUUAUAAUCGACCUACAACAACCAAAUUCAAAUAUCAAUUAGGCACACAAUUCAAUCAUACAAUUACUAACACCAAUCUCAAUCUCAAAAAUUCAAUCAACCUUCAAUUACAAGCAUAUAAUCAGUUUAUACUCAUGCAAGCACACAUAAAUCAGAUUAUACACACAUAUCAAAUACAUGUACACGUAUAAACACGGUUCACCCGAAUAUAAUUUCGAUUAUCCGACAUGUAAAUACACGCAUAUAUACACAUACAUGUAUCACAUAACUGAUUUAAUAAGUAAAACCAUCGAGUUUAUACCCAUUGAAUCGUAACAGGAGGUGCAGGGGUUUGGAUGGUCGCCGGAGAAAUAGGCGGCGGCUAUAGCAACGGCAGGAGGAAGAAAGAGCCAACGGAGAGGGUGAGAUCAAGAGUGAUUUGGGUGAGAUACGUGCGAGAGUGAGAGAUGAGACAUAGCAGCAAGAGUUUUAUGCAGAGUAUUAGAAACAAUGAGGAAGGAAAAAGAAAAGAAAAGAAAGGCGGUGGAAAAGCAGGGGCACGUGGCUAAACCUUUUGUUGUCACAUGUCCUUAACAAUCUGGCUAAUCAAUUGAUUCGUACCCUCUUUAACUGUUUUACGGAGAUAACUUGCAAUAAAAUUUCUCCCGAAAUUUAUCGAAACAUUUUUUUAUAAAUCCAAUAAUAUUACAAAACUAAUAAAAUUAAAGUUUCGGGAUUUAUAGAGCAUUUUCGAAAUUUAUACAAAAUUUAGAAGUUAGUUGCGCUUUAAAAAUAAUUAAAAAUCAUGUUCUUAAAGAAAUAAGAUUUUUAAUAUUUUAAAAACUCCUAAAAUAUUUAUAAUCACUAUUAAGCAAUUAAAAUAAUUAUUCAAAUUAUCUUUGUAUUUUUACAAAAAUAAAUAUCCAUUUAAGAGGAUAAUAAAUCUUUGAUAAAAUAAUAUAAUAAUAUCAAAAGCAGAAAUAAAUGCACACAUAGACAUAAUCGUAUACAAAUAGAUCAAUUAAAUCUCUUAACAGAUAAUUGCACGAUCAACAGAUAUUUUCCCAUAACCCCGUUGACCAGGAAAAUAUUUAAACAAAUAUAUUUAUUUUUAUUUAUUAUUUUUUUUUUUUUUGAAAUUUACCAAACUGGAAUAAAAUAUUAAAUUUUAUUCCUCCUUUUUAUAAAAACCAUUAAUAAAAUAUUUUGAAAAAUCCGGGUUGUCACA